rnacentral:rRNA from 1 species
GCCGGGCCUUUACAGGUCUGGCAAUUGGAAUGAGAACAAUUUAAAUCCCUUAUCGAGUAUCAAUUGGAGGGCAAGUCUGGUGCCAGCAGCCGCGGUAAUUCCAGCUCCAAUAGCGUAUAUUAAAGUUGUUGCAGUUAAAAAGCUCGUAGUUGGGUUUCUGGCAGGAGCGUCCGGUCUCACACUCAGUGCGGGAACUUGGAUGUCUCUGGCCAUCUUUGGGGAUAUCCUGUUUGGCAUUAAGUUGUCGGGCAGGGGAUACCCAUCGUUUACUGUGAAAAAAUUAGAGUGUUUAAAGCAGGCUUAUGCCGUUGAAUAUAUUAGCAUGGAAUAAUAAGAUAGGACUUUGAGUCUAUUUUGUUGGUUUGCGAGUCAAAGUAAUGAUUAAUAGGGACAGUUGGGGGUAUCCGUAUUUCAUUGUCAGAGGUGAAAUUCUUGGAUUUCUGAAAGACGAACUACUGCGAAAGCAUUUACCAAGGAUGUUUUCAUUAAUCAAGAACGAAAGUUAGGGGA